rnacentral:rRNA from 1 species
AGAGUUUGAUCAUGGCUCAGGAUGAACGCUGACAGAAUGCUUAACACAUGCAAGUCUACUUGAUUUAUGGUUUCGGCCGUAAUGAUGGUGGCGGACGGGUGAGUAACGCGUAAAGAAUCUGCCCUUUAGACUGGGAUAACAGUUGUAAACGACUGCUAAUACCGGAUAUUAUGAAAUCAUCGCAUGAUGGUAUCAUGAAAGCUAUAUGCGCUAGAGGAGGACUUUGCGUCCCAUUAGCUAGUUGGUGAGGUAACGGCUCACCAAGGCGACGAUGGGUAGCCGGCCUGAGAGGGUGAUCGGCCACAAGGGAACUGAGACACGGUCCUUACUCCUACGGGAGGCAGCAGUGGGGAAUAUUGGACAAUGGACCAAAAGUCUGAUCCAGCAAUUCUGUGUGCACGAUGAAGGUCUUCGGAUUGUAAAGUGCUUUCAGUAGGGAAGAAUAAAUGACGGUACCUACAGAAGAAGCGACGGCUAAAUAUGUGCCAGCAGCCGCGGUAAUACAUAUGUCGCAAGCGUUAUCCGGAUUUAUUGGGCGUAAAGCGCGUCUAGGCGGUUUACCAAGUCUGAUGUGAAAAUGCGGGGCUCAACUCCGUAUUGCGUUGGAAACUGGUAGACUAGAGUACUGGAGAGGUGGGCGGAACUACAAGUGUAGAGGUGGAAUUCGUAGAUAUUUGUAGGAAUGCCGAUGGAGAAGUCAGCUCACUGGACAGAUACUGACGCUAAAGCGCGAAAGCGUGGGGAGCAAACAGGAUUAGAUACCCUGGUAGUCCACGCCGUAAACGAUGAUCACUAGGUGUUGGGAGUCAAAUCUCAGCGCCCAAGCUAACGCGAUAAGUGAUCCGCCUGGGGAGUACGUACGCAAGUAUGAAACUCAAAUGAAUUGACGG